rnacentral:lncRNA from 1 species
UUGGACAGGUGCAGUAGGUGCUGGUCUGUGGGGUGGAGUUGAGGGUUUGUGGUUCCCUGCUGACUGAGGAAGGGUGUGGAGGCUUCUUUCCACUAACUGUGCCUUGGCCAGAAUGGUCGAAUAAGUCCUGAGCUCCAGUACAAAAAAAUGCUGCUUGAUCUCUGGGCAGAGGUGCCACUUGAACCUCCUAGCCUUCCUGCCCUCAUCCAUCUACAUCUUAGGGGAGUAUCGGCCCAACUCCAGGAACUUGCAAGCAUAUUCUGACACAGUCAUGUUCCCCUGGACCAACUGGACAAACUCUAUCUCCUUCAGAUGUCGGAUGUGCUCUGGGAGGUACUCUGCAUGAAAGGCUGCUAGGAACUGUUCCCAAGUAACUGGAACAGGUAGAGUGGUCUGCUUGAGUUCCCACCAGCGGUCUGCUUCUCCCACCAGCAUGUAGGUAGCGAGGGUGACCCUCUGCUCGGGAGUCACCCCUAGGGUUUUGAAGGUCUUCUCCGUCUCCGCCAACUAGUACUGGGCAUCUUCAAAAGAGGAUUCUCCUAAUAAAGUAGAUGGGUUCAGUCUCCUGUACCUCUCUAUGUAGCCUGGAUCAAUCGUGAGAGGAACUGGGUCCCGUGGAAGAGAGACUGGGCCAGGCUGAGAAUAGACUGAGAGCCCUUGUGGUGGUAUUUGCUGAUACGGUAGGGGCACUGGAUUAUACUAUGGCGGUGCCAGGCAGUACUGUGGCUGGGGCACCGGAUUGUACUGCGGCGGUGGCACCGAGUGGUACUGUGGAGGAGUAGGAUCGUACCGAGGUGGCUCAGGAUCCUCUCACUGCAGUGGUGGCUCAACCUGUGGCAGCGGGGGAGGGUCAGGUAGCUCCCUCCUUUCCUCUCGGCCCUGCUGGGCUGCAAUGAGUCUUUUUAACAUCUCAAAUAUCCUGUCCACGUCUUCCCUGAGCGAACCCUCCCGGACUGCCUGGUUUAGUGGGGGUCUUUCUCUUCUCAUCUCUCUAUACCUGCAUUUCACAAGGAAGAGUUGAGUGAUAAUUCAUUGUUUGGUGUUUUUUUAAGUAUUAUUGUGUAAGGGAUAGGUCCAAGGAACGUCUCUGAUACCAACUGUAACGGCCCCAAAAAUUCAAAAGGAAAUAUAUAUAAUAAUCUGAGUGCGGAAGCGAAAUAAAAGAUUAAGAUUAACAUCCUUUACAUAAUAACUUAAAAGUACUAAACAAUAUCACGGAAUAAGUUCUCUGAAAGAAAUACGAGAAAUGAGAAAAAUAAAGGAAACUAUAAAGUAUCUAGCAUCUACUCGCAGUCUUCUUAUAGAUCGGGCUCGGGAACCAGGUCCUCCUGAUAUGAAAUGGUUAAAUAAGGAAUGAGCUACACUAGCCCAGUAAGGACAUCACACUAUAUCACCGUCACAUAAGAAAAAGUUAGUAGAAAACAAAAAAUAACCAAUGGAGCACAAAUUUUAAACCCAUACAUUUAUUUAAAAUAAAAUCAUUUACUCUUUUUUUUACCCUUGGAGAACCUGUGAAAAUAACCUAUAAAGACAAUAACAUCAUACAGAUCACAAUUUCAUGCAUAAUCAGUAACAUAAAACAUCUCAUAAAUCCGUAUUCAUUAACAAUAACUUAUUAUCACCAUUUCUCAUUUUCACCAGCCUACUAAUAUCCAUGGGGAUCUAUAGCGGUGUCCCCACUACACGUGAACCAUUCUCCUUAAUAGUCUUAAUUCCAGGGCUGUCCCCAUACCCCGUCCGAUAUGAGCACCAAAUGACUAAGUCUCCAUACCCCGUCCGGUAUGAGUGCCAAACGACCAAGUCUCCAUACCCCGUCUAGUAUGAGACAACAUUCACGGUGGGGUUCUCUAUGAACCCGGUCCAUCCACCAUCUUCCAAGAUAUCUAGUGAGACUGUCACCUUAUCUAUUUUCCCUUAGUCUCCGUUACCAAGUUGAACAUAAUCACAUAAACAAUAAAUAUGCACCCGGUAAUAUAAUCAUAUCCUAAAUUCUAAAAUCACAUAGUGAUCAAGUAAGACAGUAAUACAUGCAUUUAAAACCCUAAACUAGAUACCAUCAUGCCUUUAAACUGUAAAAUAAAUCAACAGUAAUCAACAGAGAACAAUGUCCGAUUUUGGGCUCCAUUAGCAAUCCGUAAUUAAUUAUCCAUAUUUAUCUAAGUUGUGCAAAAGACCGUAUUAUUAUUUAUUCAAGCUUCACAUCUAUGAUAGGAAAUAGGGUAAAGGGUCCUUACUAGAUUCGAGCUGAAAACUAGAUUUUUACUGCACCUAUGGGCGGUCCCUGGGUUCUCUGAAUUUUUUCUCGGGAACUGAAACGCGGUUACGGUACCUACACAUGUCCCAAAUAACCCAUAAAUAAGACCCAGGGCCUACUCGACCAAUUUUAAAAUUUUGACACAGCAGCUCCGCCUGCUCCAGCGACGAUGCCGCUGCCCAUGGCGGCGAUCCGCCUCGGGUUUGCUGUUUUUGGCCAUUUUUGGCCGAAUUCAGCCAAGCUUACAUCAGUUCCUGUGAGAAAACACACUUAGGGCCCUCGGUGGGCUGAGAAAACGUAAAAAAUCGAAACUCACUGGCGGUGGGGCUGUCCGGUGUAGUGGCUCCUCCGGCUCACGUUGCAGUUCGGUGUUUUGCUCCAAUCAACCUGUAGAGGAGGAAACGGUGAUCACAAUGAUGGAAAAAUCACAUCGAACGGGAAUCGGGAAGGGCCUCAUCGGAGGCGAAAAUCAAAACAUUCGGCGGCGCCUCUAAGCUUCGGCGACGUUUCCGACCAAUUAGCCGUCUCUUUCACUCUGAUUUGGCCAUGGGUGGGUUUGGAAUCAAAUUCUGAGCAAAGGGUAGAAUUUUUACCACGUUUGGCGGCCGAAAAUUGCUCCACUGCGGCAGAGGGUAGCAGUGGUUGACUCCCCGGGGAGUGAGCUGCCUUCUCCAGCGAGGGGCUCUGGUGACUAGGGUUAGGGUUUGGGUGCGGAUGGGGUUAUUUAUACCCAUUCGCUUUUGAUCUGGGCCGUCCAUCGCUUCUAAUCUGGACCGUCCGAUCGCGAUUAAAUAAGAAGUGAAUCUGAACCGUUCAUUGCGAUUCAAUCUGGGCCAUCCGUGCGCAUUGCAAUUCAGGCCGUCCGCAUGAGUUUUGAUCUAGGUCGUCCGUGCGAGCGGGAACGGAUCUCAGUCGUUCGAUCGCUCGCAUGCGGAUCGCCCACGUGGCUCCCCCCGUGUGGCCUCCUGCGUCAGCGUCUCUGCCACCUAACGCGUCCUGGUUGGUUGGGGCUACUAACUGGGCAGCUGACGUGGUGUAACUUUUCUAAAUUACGUUUUGACCCUCAUUUUUUGAUUUUUCUUUAAAAAAUAGCCCC